GUCUAAGGUCAUACCACCCUGAACAUGUCCAAUCUCCUCUGAUCUGGGAAGCUAAGCAGGGUUGGGCCUAGUUAGUACUUGGAUGGGAGGAUCUCUGGCUUUAGGUU
rnacentral:rRNA from 1 species